UACGUAGGGGACGAGCGUUGUCCGGAAUUACUGGGCGUAAAGGGCGCGCAGGCGGUAUAUCAAGUCAGCUGUCAAAGACUGGGGCUCAACCCUGGUAUGCGGUUGAAACUGAUAUGCUGGAGUGCUGUAGAGGCAAGUGGAAUUCCCAGUGUAGCGGUGAAAUGCGUAGAUAUUGGGAAGAACACCGGUGGCGAAGGCGACUUGCUGGGCAGCAACUGACGCUGAGGCGCGAAAGCCAGGGGAGCAAACGGGAUUAGAUA
rnacentral:rRNA from 1 species